rnacentral:rRNA from 1 species
AGAGUUUGAUCCUGGCUCAGGACGAACGCUGGCGGCGUGCUUAACACAUGCAAGUGGAGCGACGAACCAGGGCUUGCCCUGGGGCAAAGCCGCGAACGGGUGAGUAACACGUGGGUCACCUGCCUCGAUGACCGGGACAACCCGAGGAAACUCGGGCUAAUACCGGAUGUGCCCGCAAGGGGAAAGGAAGCUUCGGCCUCCGCAUCGAGAUGGGCCCGCGGCCCAUUAGCUUGUUGGUGAGGUAACGGCUCACCAAGGCUCCGAUGGGUAGCUGGUCUGAGAGGACGAUCAGCCACACUGGGACUGAGACACGGCCCAGACUCCUACGGGAGGCAGCAGUGGGGAAUCUUGCGCAAUGCGCGAAAGCGUGACGCAGCAACGCCGCGUGGGGGAAGAAGGCUUUCGGGUUGUAAACCCCUUUCAGUUGGGACGAAGCUUCACCGGUGAACAGCCGGUCGGAGUGACGGUACCUUCACAAGAAGCACCGGCUAACUACGUGCCAGCAGCCGCGGUAAUACGUAGGGUGCGAGCGUUGUCCGGAAUUAUUGGGCGUAAAGAGCGUGUAGGCGGCCUCGUUAGUCCGCUGUGAAAGUCCAGGGCUCAACCCUGGAAUGCCGGUGGAUACUGCGAGGCUAGAGUCCGGAAGGGGCGAGUGGAAUUCCUGGUGUAGCGGUGAAAUGCGCAGAUAUCAGGAGGAACACCAAUGGCGAAGGCAGCUCGCUGGGACGUGACUGACGCUGAGACGCGAAAGCGUGGGGAGCAAACAGGAUUAGAUACCCCGGUAGUCC